UUACAUUUUAUUAUAUGUUAUUAUUAAUAAAUAAUGAUAUUAAUCUAUGUGAAGACACUGAUCAUGUUAAUGAUUUCUCAUAAUAAUUAUCAACAAUCAUUUAACAAAGUAGGAAACAGCUAUUUAUAGACACGUUGGUGGUCCCUGCUUUAGGUAAUGAGGUGUAAUAAAAUACUGUAAACAUUUAUUGUUUAAUAUAGUUAGUAGCCUGAACUGACUCUUUAUGUUUAUGACUUAUGUUUAUGUUUUUCUUGAUUAGCAAAUGUAAUGUACUCAUGUUGCUAAUAUAACUGACUAUCAAUUAAUGUUUUUUUUUACGACGCCUUUAUAUUUUAUGAUAUGUAUUUACGAUUGUAUCCGCAGCGACACGAAGGUAUUUGUUGCAUAUAAAAUACCAGCAAAACAAAUAUAAUGAAUAGGAAUGAAUUGAUUAAUGAAAAACAGGAAUAUUAGGAUAAAUUUGAGAAGUAUCAAAUAUUAAUUUGUAAACACUGAAAGAUUCAAUUGUAUACGUUUAAUGUUUACGCCUCUCUCCUGAUCGAAACUUGUGCUACGAUGUUAACGCUUUGAACAAAAUACUAAAGAAAUAGCUCUUGUUUUUCUGUCCAAUCAGAAUCAUCCUAUAGAAUGUGUUUGGUUUAUCGUGGAAAGAGGCGCAGUAAUAAAAUAAGGGCAUAUUUGUGCACCCAGAUUAUUGUUUUUUGUUUUAUUUUCAUAAAGAAAUGUUUCCACGUAGUCUUUUGUAGGUUGUAAUUUCAUGUCACAAAGCAACCCACCCAAAGCAACCCACCAGAGACCAGGGGGGUAUUCCAGAAAGCAGGUUAUGUGACAUACCUGGGUAUGUUUAAGGGUAAGUUCGUGGAUAACCUCAACUUUCGGUUCCAAAAACGGAGGUAACUUUCUGGGGUUUCCAAAUGUAAUUGGGUGCAUUGAUGGCACUCACAUUCCUAUUAAAGCUCCACCAAUAAAUGAGGGAGACUGUGUUCAUAGGAAAUCUAUUCAUAGCAUCAAUGUGCAGGACAGUACAAUGGUUACUUGCUGGGGGACAGAGGAUACCCUUGUCUGCCCUAUUUAAUGACACCCUACCCUGAACCUGAGCCUGGACCACAGACACGGUUUAACCUGGCUCACAGCCGAACACGGGCCAAGGUGGAGAUGACUAUAGGGAUCCUCAAAUCUCGGUUUCAGUGUCUGCGUGGGCUCCGGGUUAGUCCAGAGAGGGCAUGCGACAUUAUAGUAGCGUGUGUUGUGCUUCACAAUAUUGCCACUAUAAGAGGAGAGAGCCACCCUCCUUGUAUUGAGGAAGAUGGCCCAGAGGAACACCUAAAGAUUUUAGAGGCCAACAGAGACAGAAGACUUUUGAGAGACAGGGUCUGUCAAAAUCACUUUUAUUAAUUUUUUUCACUGGUCUGCCAG